AUUGAACGCUGGCGGCAUGCCUUACACAUGCAAGUCGAACGGCAGCGCGGGGCAACCUGGCGGCGAGUGGCGAACGGGUGAGUAACAUAUCGGAACAUACCCUAGAGUGGGGGAUAACGUAGCGAAAGUUACGCUAAUACCGCAUACGCACUAAGGUGGAAAGUGGGGGAUCUUCGGACCUCAUGCUCAUGGAGUGGCCGAUAUCUGAUUAGCUAGUUGGUGAGGUAAAGGCUCACCAAGGCGACGAUCAGUAGCUGGUUUGAGAGAACGACCAGCCACACUGGAACUGAGACACGGUCCAGACUCCUACGGGAGGCAGCAGUGGGGAAUUUUGGACAAUGGGGGCAACCCUGAUCCAGCAAUGCCGCGUGAGUGAAGAAGGCCUU
rnacentral:rRNA from 1 species